rnacentral:rRNA from 1 species
CGGAACGGGUGAGUAAUGCGUCGACCAACCUGCCCCAUGCUCCAGAAUAGCUCUUGGAAACGGGUGGUAAUGCUGGAUGCUCCAACUUGACGCAUGUCUUGUUGGGAAAGUGUUUAGUGGCAUGGGAUGGGGUCGCGUCCUAUCAGCUUGUAGGCGGGGUAAUGGCCCACCUAGGCUUCGACGGGUAGCCGGCCUGAGAGGGCGGACGGCCACAUUGGGACUGAGAUACGGCCCAGACUCCUACGGGAGGCAGCAGCC